GACGAACGCUGGCGGCGUGCUUAACACAUGCAAGUCGAACGGCAAGGCCCUGCUUUUGUGCGGUGCUCGAGUGGCGAACGGGUGAGUAACACGUGUGUAACCUGCCCUUGACUUUGGGAUAACUUCAGGAAACUGGGGCUAAUACCGGAUAGGAUCUCCUGCUGCAUGGUGGGGGUUGGAAAGUUUCGGCGGGUGGGGAUGGACUGGCGGCUUAUCGGCUUGUUGGUGGGGUAGGGGCUUACCAAGGCUUGGACGGGUAGCCGGCCUGAGAGGGUGACCGGCCACAUUGGGACUGAGAUACGGCCCAGACUCCUACGGGAGGCAGCAGUGGGGAAUAUUGCACAAUGGGCGGAAGCCUGAUGCAGCAACGCCGCGUGCGGGAUGACGGCCUUCGGGUUGUAAACCGCUUUCGCCUGUGACGAAGCGUGAGUGACGGUAAUGGGUAAAGAAGCACCGGCUAACUACGUG
rnacentral:rRNA from 1 species